rnacentral:rRNA from 1 species
CAGUCGCCGCGGGAAUACGUAGGGUGCGAGCGUUAAUCGGAAUUACUGGGCGUAAAGCGUGCGCAGGCGGUUCGUUAAGACAGAUGUGAAAUCCCCGGGCUUAACCUGGGAACUGCAUUUGUGACUGGCGAGCUAGAGUAUGGCAGAGGGGGGUAGAAUUCCACGUGUAGCGGUGAAAUGCGUAGAGAUGUGGAGGAAUACCGAUGGCGAAGGCAGCCCCCUGGGCCAAUACUGACGCUCAUGCACGAAAGCGUGGGGAGCAAACAGGAUUAGAUACCCCCGUAGUCCCUGUCUCUUAUAC